rnacentral:rRNA from 1 species
CACGUAGGGCGCAAGCGUUGUCCGGAAUUAUUGGGCCUAAAGCAUCCGUAGCCGGUUCUACAAGUCUUCCGUUAAAUCCAGCUGCUUAACAGAUGGGCUGCGGAAGAUACUAUGGAGCUAGGAGGCGGGAGAGGCAAGCGGUACUCGAUGGGUAGGGGUAAAAUCCGUUGAUCCAUUGAAGACCACCAGUGGCGAAGGCGGCUUGCCAGAACGCGCUCGACGGUGAGGGAUGAAAGCUGGGGGAGCAAACCGG